rnacentral:rRNA from 1 species
GAACGCCGGCGGUGUGCCUAAUACAUGCAAGUCGUACGCACUGGCCCAACUGAUUGAUGGUGCUUGCACCUGAUUGACGAUGGAUCACCAGUGAGUGGCGGACGGGUGAGUAACACGUAGGUAACCUGCCCCGGAGCGGGGGAUAACAUUUGGAAACAGAUGCUAAUACCGCAUAACAACAAAAGCCACAUGGCUUUUGUUUGAAAGAUGGCUUUGGCUAUCACUCUGGGAUGGACCUGCGGUGCAUUAGCUAGUUGGUAAGGUAACGGCUUACCAAGGCGAUGAUGCAUAGCCGAGUUGAGAGACUGAUCGGCCACAAUGGAACUGAGACACGGUCCAUACUCCUACGGGAGGCAGCAGUAGGGAAUCUUCCACAAUGGGCGCAAGCCUGAUGGAGCAACACCGCGUGAGUGAAGAAGGGUUUCGGCUCGUAAAGCUCUGUUGUUGGAGAAGAACGUGCGUGAGAGUAACUGUUCACGCAGUGACGGUAUCCAACCAGAAAGUCACGGCUAACUACGUGCCAGCAGCCGCGGUAAUACGUAGGUGGCAAGCGUUAUCCGGAUUUAUUGGGCGUAAAGCGAGCGCAGGCGGUUGCUUAGGUCUGAUGUGAAAGCCUUCGGCUUAACCGAAGAAGUGCAUCGGAAACCGGGCGACUUGAGUGCAGAAGAGGACAGUGGAACUCCAUGUGUAGCGGUGGAAUGCGUAGAUAUAUGGAAGAACACCAGUGGCGAAGGCGGCUGUCUGGUCUGCAACUGACGCUGAGGCUCGAAAGCAUGGGUAGCGAACAGGAUUAGAUACCCUGGUAGUCCAUGCCGUAAACGAUGAGUGCUAGGUGUUGGAGGGUUUCCGCCCUUCAGUGCCGGAGCUAACGCAUUAAGCACUCCGCCUGGGGAGUACGACCGCAAGGUUGAAACUCAAAGGAAUUGACGGGGGCCCGCACAAGCGGUGGAGCAUGUGGUUUAAUUCGAAGCUACGCGAAGAACCUUACCAGGUCUUGACAUCUUGCGCUAACCUUAGAGAUAAGGCGUUCCCUUCCGGGACGCAAUGACAGGUGGUGCAUGGUCCUCCUCACCUCGUGUCGUGAGAUGUUGGAUUAAGUCCCGCAACGAGCGCAACCCUUGUUACUAGUUGCCAGCAUUAAGUUGGGCACUCUAGUGAGACUGCCGGUGACAAACCGGAGGAAGGUGGGGACGACGUCAGAUCAUCAUGCCCCUUAUGACCUGGGCUACACACGUGCUACAAUGGACGGUACAACGAGUCGCAAGCUCGCGAGAGUAAGCUAAUCUCUUAAAGCCGUUCUCAGUUCGGACUGUAGGCUGCAACUCGCCUACACGAAGUCGGAAUCGCUAGUAAUCGCGGAUCAGCAUGCCGCGGUGAAUACGUUCCCGGGCCUUGUACACACCGCCCGUCACACCA